rnacentral:tRNA from 1 species
GGAGGCUUAGCUCAGCUGGGAGAGCAUCUGCCUUACAAGCAGAGGGUC